CUCGGUUCGACCAGGUCUGGUGACCGGCGACGAGGGGCCGGGCUCGGCGCCGGGGGUCGGGGAAAGAAGAACUAGGUCUGGCAGUAGAUCAGAAUCUACCUGUUGGGGAAAACCAGAAAUAGGAAGAAGAGUUAUUAAUGGUUCAUUCUUGGCUGAGAAGAAUUCAGUAUGGAAUAAUUAAGGUUAGUUUAGAGAAAUAAUAUAUGAUUAUGUUAAGGAGUUCACAAAUAUUAUUGAAAGUAAACUGGUUAAAACUGAUUUGUUAAUGUAAAUGGGGCCAAUAAACCAAUUAGAUGAUCUCGCUACUAAAUUGAUGUGAUAAUAGAGGAUAUCUGGAGGGAAGUAAAAUAGAUGAUAAGGUUAGUGGUAAUGAGACUUCAUUAAAUCCUAGUACUAAAGAGAUACUGUGUACAUUAGUGACAGCUUAAUUCUAUAAAUAAAAGUUGAUGUUAAGAAUUGAUAUGGGGCCUGUGGUGACUCACACUUGUAAUCCCAGAGACUUGGGAGUCUGAGGUGGGAGGAUUGCUUGAGGCCAAGAGUUCCAGACCAGCCUGGGCAACAUAGUGAGACCCCCCUCUCAUUCACUCAUAAAUAAAUACAUAAAUAGCAAGCCCAAUGUGGUGGUGAGUGCCUGUAUUCCCAGCUACUUAGAAGGCUGAGCCAGGAGGAUCGCUGGAGCCCAGGAGUUUGAGGCUGCAGUGAGAUAUGAUUGCCCCACUGUACUCUAGCCUGGGGGACAGAGCAAGACCCCAUCUCUAAAAUAAUAAUAACUGAUACAAUGUUGGCACUGCUGAAAUUAGGCAGGUAUUAUUUGUGUAAAGAGUUGUAACAAAAGGACUUGAUUAAAGAGCCCAGGCUCCAAACUCAUUUGAAAUUCCAGGUAAAGUAUAAGAAUAAUAAUUCAUAUUUGUAUGGGACUUUAUAAUACUCUGAAUGUUUUCAUAUACAAGAUCUCCUUUGAUUCUUAUAAGAACUCAGGGUAAUAGUAGUACAGGUUUGGAGGUUCUGAGAGGCUAACAGACUUACUGAAGCAAAUAGGGACUAAAUGACAGGAGUGGGACUUGAACCCAGGGCUCCCUACCAAAAUGCUUUUGCUCACUGUGUUGCUUUUUUGUGGUUGCUGUAACAAAUUACUACAAACUAGGUCGCUUAAAGCAAUAGAAAUUUAUUCUUUAACUCUUUUGGAGGCCAGAAGUCCAAAAUCAAGGUGUUGGCUGAGCCACAUUCCCUCUGGAGGCUCUUUGGGGGAGAAAUCUGUUCCUUGCCUCUUCCAGUUUCUGUUGUGUAUGGGGCAUUCCUUGACUUGUGGCUGCCUCACUCCAGUCUCUGCCUCUGUGGUCAUUAUAGCCUUCUUUUCUGUUCUGUGUCUUCUCUUCUGUGUGUCUCAAAUCUCUCUCUCUGCCUUUUUCUUCUAAGGACUGACUUUAAGAGAAUCUACUUGUCACUGGAUUUAGGGUACACCUGGAUAAUCCAAGAUGAUCUCACCUGAAAAUUUUUAAUUACAUCUGCAAAGACCUUUUCUUCAAAUAAAGUAAUAUUCACAGGGUCUGGGGAUUGGGAUAUGGAUGUGUCUUUUCAGGAGCCACCAUUUAACCCACUAAAUUCAUUAUAUGCUGUUUAAUGCUGUAUCUUCCUUUUGGAUUGAAGAGAUAUGCUUCUGUUUGAAGAUGGGCAAGUGGGCUAGGGAAUUUUUGGCUAGUAGGUAGAAAGGAACUUUAAAAAUAUUUCUGGUUGGUGCUGUUUAGUAAGUGCUUGUUAAACUUUCAGAGGUCAAAUAUCUUGAACACAAAUUGGAGAAGGAGUAAAUCAGUAUAAAGUGAAAAAUAUGAUAUUUUCUCCAAAAGGCAGUCACUGACUGCUUUGGCAGAAAGAAUUGAGGUGAUUACUCAAGAGUUCCACCAAAUUGUUGUGCUAGCUUUUACAUUUGCAAACUAUAAAAAACGGGACUAAAUUAAGUAGCAGCUCACUUUUUUUAUUAACAGUAUUACAAGUUGACUUUUUCAUUUCUUGUGUAAUUGAGAUAAAAGGGGGGGUGUGUGUAUGAGAGAGAGACAAAGAUUUUGUUAAUGGUUUUAGUAUGAUUCAUUUCUUAUGUCAUAUGGGCAUUCUAAUUUGAGUCAUAUUAAUUAAGGUGAUCUAUGUAUGUAAACUCUUUGAGGGAGGGACUUGGCAUGCCUUGUAUACAGCUAGAUCCCCAGUGUAGUUCCGGACACGUGGUAGAUGUGCUCAGACAACAUUAGCUGUAUGAAUGAAAGAACUUCUUAUGAUACCCAAAUCUGGCAGCCACAAGUCUCAUUACAAUUUACUUUAUGGAGGGUCCCCAUUGGUAAUAAGGUCUAUUAAUUGUAGAAUUGUCCCUGCUGACUUUAAGAGACUUCACUCUGUGUCCUUUUAUGCUGACAGAGCCUACAACUUUUUUCAUCUCCAAUAAUCUUCAGCUCCAGGCCAAAAAAAAGUUGUUCUUGCCCUGCUCACAUUAAUUGAAAUAAGUCAGUGAGAUUCCUUCUGCCCACCACCUCACUUCUCACUAGCAUGGGGCUCAGCUACCAUUAGAGAUGUUAGAGUGGGGCUGUUGUGCAGUUCUUCAGACUAUUAGUGCUGUAUGCUAUGUUCUGAGGAGGGUUCGGGCUUUUAUCUUCUCAAAAAUGUGUAAAAUUUUGACUCACUCAUACAGCUUUAGAUGUUAACAGAUAGAAGUAUACUGACUGUGUGUGCUAGGCUCUUCCAUGUAUUAUAUCAGAUGUUGCUUCCAGCCAACCUGAGAAGCUAAGUACUAACAUUGUCCCUAUUUUACAGAAGCAUAAAGAAGUUAAGCAACCCAACCUAAGUUCACACCAAAAUUUGAACCCAGGUAGCCUUACUUCAUUCAGUGCCCGUGUUCUUAACCAUGUCCAAUGACAGCCUCAAGCUCAUUUGUUUAUAAGUAACUCGUUCUUACUUUCUAAAAGCUUUUCUGUUUUCUUUAUUUUGAAGCUCAGAAAUUAGAAAUCUGACUAGGAUAUAUAUAUAGGUAUAUGCCCUUUUUCAUUUAUCCUGUCUGGUACUCAAUGAGCCCUUUUGAUUUCAUAAUUCUAGUCUCCUCCUGAGGGAAGUUUUCUUGUAUUAUGUUUUGAUUAUUACUUUUUCCAUUAUGGUCCUUGUUCUCUCUCUGAAUGCCUUUUAUUUCCAAUUAGACCUCCUGGACCUGCUGGUUAGUUCUCUCAUCUUUUUAUUCAAGAAUUCCAUUUCUUUUUUUUUUGCUCCAGAUAAUGUGAUACACAUUCACCUGCUUUUCCAGAUAACAGAUUUGUUCUUUGGAGGGUCUCCUGUACUUUUUACUUCCUCAAUUGAAAUUUAAAAUUUAUAAAUCAUGUUUAAAGAAUUACCCAAUCUAUUAUUUUGUUUCAGUUAUUCCCUUGCAUUCAACAGCAUAUACAAAAUAAAAUAUACAAGUAAACAUGGUUUAUUUUAGAAAUGUGAGACUAUUUCAACAUUAGGAAAUACUAAUGUAAGAUAUCACUCUAAUAGAUCAAAGGAAAAAAACUUAGAAUCAUUUUCACAAAUACUGCAAAGGUAUUUGAUAAAUCACUACUCAUUCUUGAUAAAAACCAAAGAAACAAAAAACAGCUCUUGUUAAUCCAGGAAAUGAAGGCUAUUUUCUUAACAGUACAGCCAAUAUCAUAGUUAACUUUGAAAGUUAAUUUUGAAAUACUUGAGCAACAUUCCCUAAGAGUAUCUUCAGAACUGUAGAUCUGAUGUUUAUAUAAAAAAGGGUAUCUUGGUGUAUUAGUUAGGGUAAAGCGAGAUGUUACAACAAAUACCAACUUUUCAGUGGCUUAAUAAAAUAUAAAUUUAUUUUUCCCUCAUGUAAUAGUCCACUGCGGAUGUUUCUGGUUGGCAGACAGUUGUUUUUUUCUGUAUGGUAACUCAGGGACAUAGGCUCCUUCCAUUAUAGGGAUCCACCAUUCCCUAGGGCCUUGAAUUCUUCUGUUUCCAGUGGACAGAAUUGCAGAGAUAGGGUGGAGAAUGCAUACUUUCUUCUCAGUUACCUUGGCCUGGAUACGACACACAUCAGUUCUGUUCACAUUCCCACAUUCCAUUGGCCGGAACUAGAUGCGUUACCUCACCUGUCUGCAAGAUGUGUGUUCCAGGGGAGGGAAAUGGAAAACAUUAUCUGGCUGGGGAACCACAGGUGUGGUAACAGUCUCAUUUGUAGUUGGAAGGAGUAGAAAUUAGGAAUGCCUUAGUGGAGGACACUGUGUGAUAUCUGUCAAAUUUUAAAACAUACAUGUUCUUUGACCUCAAAAUUCCACUUCCAGCAAUUUUUCCUACAGAUAUACCCACAAAUAUAUACAUGUUUACACUUGGAGGAUAUACCUAGUAAUAUUGUAAUAGUAAAAGAUUGGAAGCAUUCUGAAUGUCCAUCAAAGGGGACUGAGUUGGAAACAUUCUGAAUGUCCAUCAAAGGGGACUGAGUAAAUUAUUGUUUAUCCAUACAUUGAAACACUGCAGCCACUGAGAGGCAGUGAUAUAUGUACUGACUGGGGAGAGAAAUGCAAGGUACAGAACCGUGUGUUCACAGCUACCAUUUACUUAAAAAGAGAAAUAUAUACAUGUAUGCUCAUAUAUUCAUAGAAUAUUUAUGGAGGGAUCACAAGAAACUGGAAGGAUCACAAAAAAUGUAACAGUGGCUGCUUCUGGUUAAAAUUAUAAGGUCAUGGGUCAUGGGAUGAGAGAGUCAGGCUUUUACUGUGUCCUCUUUUAUACCUUUUGAUGUGCACCUAUUUAAAUAUAAAAGUCAGUUGUAGAAGUAUAAUAAAUAACAUGGAAAGAUGGCUGUAAUAUAUUAUUGCCUAAAAACAAGCUUACUGAAAAUUAUGUACAAUAUGUUCUCACUUUUAUAAAUAAAUAAAGAAAUGGGA
rnacentral:lncRNA from 1 species